rnacentral:rRNA from 1 species
GAUUGAGUUUGAUCCUGGCUCAGGACGAACGCUGGCGGCGCGCUUAACACAUGCAAGUCGUACGGAGUCACUCCUUCGGGGGUGGCUCAGUGGCGAACGGGUGCGUAACACGUGAGCAACCUGCCUUGGGGUGGGGGAUAACCCGUGGAAACGCGGGCUAAUACCGCAUGACCUCAUCGAACGGAGUCGUUUGAUGAGGAAAGGUGCUUAACGGCACUGCCUUGAGAGGGGCUCGCGGCGUAUCAGCUAGAUGGUGGGGUAACGGCCUACCAUGGCGACGACGCGUAGCCGAUCUGAGAGGAUGAUCGGCCACAUUGGGACUGAGAUACGGCCCAGACUCCUACGGGAGGCAGCAGUGGGGAAUCUUGCGCAAUGGGCGAAAGCCUGACGCAGCGACGCCGCGUGGGGGAGGAAGCCCUUCGGGGUGUAAACCCCUGUCAGGAGGGAAGAACGGCCACCCGAGGAAAUGCGGGUGGAUUGACGGUACCUCCAAAGGAAGCACCGGCUAACUCUGUGCCAGCAGCCGCGGUAAAU